AGACAGGGUCGUCGUCUGGCACCCAGGCUGGAGUGCAGUGGUGCAAUCACAGUUCACUGAAGCCUCGACCUCCCAGGCUCAAGGGAUCCUCCUGCCUCAGCCUCCCGAGUACCCAGGACCACAGGCAUGCGCCACCACGCCUGGCUUUAUUGUAAAUCCAUCCAUGCGAUCAUCGCCGCAAUCAGGAUACAGAUCUGGGCCAGGCUCGAUGACUCAUGCUUGUAAUUCCAGCACUUUGGGAGGCGGAAGUGGGCGGAUCACUUGAGGCCAGGAGUUCAAGACCAGCCUGGGCAACAGCCGUUCAACAACAACAACAACAACAAACUUAACAAACUAGCUGGGUGUGGUAGCUCGCGCCUGUAUUCCCAGCUACUCACUCGGGAGGCUGAGGUGGGAGGAUCACUUGAGCCCGGGAGGUCGAGGCUGCAGUCAGCUGUGAUUGUGCCACUGCACCAGCCUGGGCAACAGAGUGAGACACUGUCUCCCACUUCCUGAAAAAUGAUACAGAUCUGUUCCAUGAUCUCAAAUGCCAGAGAGCCUCCUGCUUCCCUGCUGCAGUCACACCACUCUCCUCCCCCACGAACAUACCAACCCUUGUCAAUCACUAAUCUGUUUUCCAUCUUUACAAUGUUGUCAUUUUGAAAAUGUUACAUAAAUGAAUUCCUAUAGUAUGUGAUCUUUUGAGAUUGGCUUUUAUCGCUCAAUGUAAUGCCCUUGAGAUGCGUCCAAACUGAUGCUCAUAUUGUUUGUUCAUAUUUUUAUUGUUGAGUAGUAUUCCAUGGUAUGGACGUACCAGUUUAAUUUUUUACUUAUUGUAGGACACCUUGGUUGUUUCCUGUUUUUGGUUAUUACGAAUAAAUUGCUGUGAGUAUUCAUGUCUGUGGUUUUGCUGGGACAUAACUUUUUUGAUUGUUUGUUUUGAGACAAUGAAAUCACUCCGUUGCCUAGGCUGCAGUGCAGUGGCAGGAUCACGGCUCACUGCGGCCUCCACCUCCUGGGCUCAAGUGAUCCUACUGCCUUAGCCUCCCGAGUAGCUGGAACUGCAGGCUCAUGCCACCACGUCCAGCUAAUUUUUGUAUUCUUUGUAGAAAUGGGGUCUUGCUGUGUUACCAAGGCUGGUCUCAAACUCCUGGGCUCAAAGGAUCCGCUCACCCCAGCCUCCUAAAGCGCUGGGACUACAGGCAUG
rnacentral:lncRNA from 10 species